rnacentral:lncRNA from 1 species
GACAAGAUGGAUCGUCUGUGCGAACAGGCUUCUCCCGGGGUCCCCGCUGCUGGGCUCUACCUCUUUAUACACCAAGAAGAUCCUGAUGUGGGCUCUAGGACAUCAAUAUCUUCACUAAAGGAGAUUUACACCCUCCACGUUGUCACCACCCACUGCAGUGUCUCUGCAGGGCGGCAGCCACGACCUGAUCGAAUCUUCCGGGAGACCUGUCUGCCCUACCUGCCUCCAAAAGGCCCAGUGGCUCCCACUUCCCUGUAUAAGGUAGGAUCUUGUCCAGGUCAGCAGGUGCUGGACUAAGGGGCAUUUGCCUUCUGGUGGUCAGGGUGUGCCUAGGUCCUGACCUGCAAGGAGCCCCACACAUCAAGACUUCCGCAUCCUGAGGCCGGGAACCUUCUCAUCCUGCAGUUGGUGUUGUGGGCAAGUCCGCUUGAUGGCAGGAUAGAAGCUCAGAGCAGGCUGCACAGUCAGAUUCCUGUGGCCUGUGCACUUGACCUCCCUGGGAAGAUGGGGCUGCCCAGGGAACUUCUGAAAACAGUAAUGCACGUGAAAUUCUCAACACGGUGUACAAAUAGUCACAGUGAGAGUCUUCUCAGCAGGCAAAAGGGGGAGACGACCCUAGAGUCCAUCAUUAAACGAUGGGUGCAUAGAAUGUGUUGCAGCUUCACAAUGGAAUAAUACUCAGCUAUAAAAAGGUCUAAAGUUCUGACGCCUGUUAUGCCAUGAAUGGGCUUUUUUGAAAGUGCUCUAAAUGAAAGAAGCCAGUGGCAAAAGACAAGAAACCGU